GCCAGACUCCUACGGGAGGCAGCAGUGGGGGAUAUUGCACAAUGGGGGGAACCCUGAUGCAGCGACGCCGCGUGGGUGAAGGAGUAUUUCGGUAUGUAAAGCCCUAUCGGCAGGGAAGAAAAUGACGGUACCUGAAGAAGAAGCCCCGGCUAACUACGUGCCAGCAGCCGCGGUAAUACGUAGGGGGCAAGCGUUAUCCGGAUUUACUGGGUGUAAAGGGGGCGCAGACGGCGAUGCAAGCCAGGAGUGAAAGCCCGGGGCCCAACCCCGGGACUGCUCUUGGAACUGCGUGGCUGGAGUGCAGGAGGGGCAGGCGGAAUUCCUAGUGUAGCGGUGAAAUGCGUAGAUAUUAGGAGGAACACCAGUGGCGAAGGCGGCCUGCUGGACAGUAACUGACGUUGAGGCUCGAAAGCGUGGGGAGCAAACAGGAUUAGAUACCCCAGUAC
rnacentral:rRNA from 1 species